GAUGAAGAACGCAGCGAAAUGCGAUACGUAGUGUGAAUUGCAGAAAUACGUGAACCAUCGAAUCUUUGAACGCACAUUGCGCCCCCUGGUAUUCCGGGGGGCAUGCCUGUUCGAGCGUCAUUUCACCACUCAAGCCUCGCUUGGUAUUGGGCAACGCGGUCCGCCGCGUGCCUCAAAUCGACCGGCUGGGUCUUCUGUCCCCUAAGCGUUGUGGAAACUAUUCGCUAAAGGGUGUUCGGGAGGCUACGCCGUAAAACAACCCCAUUUCUAAGGUUGACCUCGGAUCAGGUAGGGAUACCCGCUGAACUUAAGCAUAUCAAUAAGCGGAGGA
rnacentral:misc_RNA from 1 species